CAUAGCAUGGCUUAGUGGUACAGCGUGUCACUCGUAUUAUAUGCGUUAUGACAAGAUCCCUCGUUCGAUUCGGGGUGUGGGCA
rnacentral:tRNA from 1 species